GUGCUGGCUUCGGCAGCACAUAUACUAAAAUUGGAAUGAUACAGAGAAGAUUAGCAUGGCCCCUGCACAAGGAUGACAUGCAAAUUUGUAAAGCGGUCUAUAGUUUA
ensembl:snRNA U6 U6 spliceosomal RNA